CCUACGGGAGGCAGCAGUGGGGAAUUUUGGACAAUGGGCGCAAGCCUGAUCCAGCCAUGCCGCGUGAGUGAAGAAGGCCUUCGGGUUGUAAAGCUCUUUCGGUAGGAACGAAAUGGUUCGUGCUAAUACCACGGACUGAUGACGGUACCUGAAGAAGAAGCACCGGCUAACUACGUGCCAGCAGCCGCGGUAAUACGUAGGGUGCAGGCGUUAAUCGGAAUUACUGGGCGUAAAGCGUGCGCAGGCGGUUUCUUAAGUCAGAUGUGAAAGCCCCGGGCUUAACCUGGGAACUGCGUUUGAAACUGGGAGACUAGAGUGUGGCAGAGGGGGGUGGAAUUCCACGUGUAGCAGUGAAAUGCGUAGAUAUGUGGAGGAACACCGAUGGCGAAGGCAGCCCCCUGGGUUAACACUGACGCUCAUGCACGAAAGCGUGGGGAGCAAACAGGAUUAGAUACCCUGGUAGUCCACGCCCUAAACUAUGUCAACUGGUUGUCGGGGGAUUAACUCCCUUGGUAACGAAGCUAACGCGUGAAGUUGACCGCCUGGGGAGUACGGCCGCAAGGUUAAAACUCAAAGGAAUUGACGG
rnacentral:rRNA from 1 species